rnacentral:rRNA from 1 species
CUACGGGACGCUGCAGUGAGGAAUAUUGCACAAUGGAGGAAACUCUGAUGCAGCAACGCCGCGUGGAGGAUGACGCAUUUCGGUGUGUAAACUCCUUUUAUAUGUCAAGAAAAUGACGGUAGCAUAUGAAUAAGCACCGGCUAACUCCGUGCCAGCAGCCGCGGUAAUACGGAGGGUGCAAGCGUUACUCGGAAUCACUGGGCGUAAAGGACGCGUAGGCGGGAUAUCAAGUCAGGUGUGAAAUCCUACAGCUUAACUGUAGAACUGCACUUGAAACUGGUAACCUAGAGUAUGGGAGGGGGAGAUGGAAUUAGUGGUGUAGGGGUAAAAUCCGUAGAUAUCACUAGGAAUACCUAAAGCGAAGGCGAUCUCCUGGAACAUUACUGACGCUAAGGCGUGAAAGCGUGGGGAGCAAACAGGAUUAGAUACCCGAGUAGUC